rnacentral:lncRNA from 1 species
UUUCAUUUCUCUAACACAAAGAAGCAGCAGCAGCAACACUCUGAAGAUGGCUUCAUUGGCAGCAUCGUCCACUCCUGCUGCCUCCAUUGGAGUUAAGGAGAUGCUUGGCAACCCUCUCAAUGUCAGCAGUGCUGUUAGGACUUCAGCUCCAGGUGCAUCAAACCCUUCUACUUUCAAGCCCGUUGCUCUCUUCUCCAAGAAGAAAGCCGCCCCUCCUGCCAAGUCUAAGCCCGUCGCCGUCUCCCCCGUUAACGAAGAGCUCGCCAAGUGGUAUGGUGAGUACAUGCCAAUUCUACUUUUUCCGAGCUUAAGAGUACGUUUGCAACUGUUAUGCUUUUGAGGUCCAGUGGCUUAAAAACUGUUGUAUCAGAGCCAAAAUCUUGUGUUCGAACUCGCAGUUAUUGCUCUGUCUGGUUAUAAUUUCAAUAUAGGUCUUUCAACAUAUUGCAUGCAUGGUGAAUUUUUCAGGUCCUGACCGAAGAAUUUUCUUGCCCGAGGGUCUCUUGGACAGAUCUGAGAUCCCUGAGUACUUGACCGGAGAAGUUCCCGGAGAGUAGGAUUGUCCUUCUUCUUCCCUUCAGGGCCUCAGAUGAUUUUUCGUGAACAUUGUUUAGUUGAAUGUUUUUUAAAACAUUAAUACAUAAUGAAUUUUGUUGCUUUAAUGCAGCUAUGGUUACGAUCCUUUUGGUCUCAGCAAGAAACCAGACGACUUCAGCAAGUAUGUUAACUUAAGCUCUACAUUUUUUUGUUGUAUCUUUUUAUGAAAUCAUCCGAAGAAACAGUUCAUUGAUUAUUGUUUAAGAAAUAUAUGGUUGGAUUAAUUUCAUUGCAGAUAUCAGGCAUAUGAAUUGAUUCAUGCCAGAUGGGCCAUGCUUGGUGCUGCUGGUUUCAUCAUUCCUGAAGCCUUUAACAAGUUUGGUGCUAACUGUGGUCCUGAAGCUGUCUGGUUCAAGGUUAAUUUGCAUUUUUCCAGAUCGUUGCUCCUUUAUGUCGUGUAUUUGCUUAUGGUUUUGUUAAUGUCCUGUUUUUGCAGACUGGAGCUCUACUUCUUGAUGGAAACACAUUGAACUACUUCGGAAAGAACAUCCCAAUCAACCUUGUUUUUGCUGUCAUUGCUGAGAUUGUUCUUGUAGGUGGUGCUGAAUAUUAUAGAAUCACCAACGGUUUGGUAAUUGUCUUUGUCCUGCUUCUCAUUAACAUCACUUACACAUUACUUACGUGGAAAAUUAGUUUACCGCAUUACCAUUACUAGUCAAAAGCAUAUUCUAAAGUUAAAAGUGUAGCGAAUUUGAUAAUUAUAGUCAUCAUAUAUCAUUUAGUUAAGCAAACACAAAUAGUCAGUUAGUCGCGUGCAAGGACUACAUUCAAUCUGCUUCCUUUCAAGCAAAGUGCAAAGUUCAAAUUCAAUUAAACGUUAAAAAAUUACAAAAAACUUUAGAGGUGAAAUUUCAGAGUCUUUGAAAAGCUUAGGGAUGAGUUUUGAGUUCCAUUCGAUAUGUUCUGGUAGAUACAUGCAUGCAUGGUUACCGAAACAAAAAAACUCAAACUCUGUGCAAUUUCCAUCGUAGGAUUUGGAGGACAAGCUUCACCCAGGUGGUCCAUUUGACCCACUGGGAUUAGCAAAGGAUCCUGACCAAUUUGCAUUGCUAAAAGUGAAGGAGAUCAAGAAUGGAAGACUUGCAAUGUUUGCCAUGCUUGGUUUCUUUCUCCAAGCUUAUGUCACAGGUG